ensembl:lncRNA
GUGGUGGUUAUGUUAUACCCGCGCGUAUGGUUUGGUUGUCGUUGUUAUGGAUCACGAUAACUCUUUGGCGAGUAUUGAAGUGCCAGUAAAACGUAAGUUAUAUUGCUCUUUGUACUAAGGUUUCCUUGACAUCAGAACAGAUGAUUUUGAAAACUGCACAGCGGAAUGUCGACCCCAUGUCAGUCCAGUCUUCAAUCCAUUACUUGGUUGAAGCACCUUUACAGCCUCCAGUCUUUUUGGGUAUGAUGCGGCAAGCUUUGCAGAUCACCAUUUGGCAAUUAUCUGCCAUUCUUCUCCUCAUCUCUUCACCUCUCAAGCUCUGUUAGGUUGGAUGGGGGCCAACAGACAUUUUCAGGUUUCUCCAGAAAUAUUUGACUGGGUUCAAUCCCAGGCUCUGGUUGGGCCACCCAAGGACAUUCACAGAGUUGUCCACAAGCCACUCUUGGUGUGUGCUUAGGGUCAUUGUCCUGUUAGAAGGUGAACCUUCUGCCCAGUCUAAGGUUCUGAAUGGUCUGGACUGGGUUUUCAAUAAGACUAUUUCAAUAUUUUGGUGUACUGAGCUUUUCUUCUACUCUGACGAGUCCCUCAGUCCCUGCCGCUUACAGGUUAUAAGCAGUGCCUGGUUUACUUCAAACAUGAUGCAUAGAAUUGAGGUUCAUCAGACAAGAGAAUCUUGUUUCUCACAGUCUGAGGGUCCUUUAGGUGCUUUUUGCAAAUUCUAAGUGCGUUUUCAUGUGUCUUCACUGAAGAGUAGAUUAAGUCUGGCCACACCGCCAUAAAGCCCAGAUCGGUGGAGUGUUGCAGUGAUGUUUGUCUUUCUGUAGGUUUCUCCUAUCUCCACAUAUGAUCAUGUAGUUUAACUAGAGUGACCAUCAUCACCAAGAAGGGUAUAAAUACAUAUGCA